GCCAAAUUAGCUUAAUGGUAGAGCAACUGUCUUGUAAAUAGUAGGUUGUAGGUUCAAUUCCUAUUUUUGGCA
rnacentral:tRNA from 1 species